rnacentral:rRNA from 1 species
GUAGUUAGCCGUGGCUUCCUCCUUAGGUACCGUCAUUAUCGUCCCUAAAGACAGAGCUUUACAAUCCGAAGACCGUCAUCACUCACGCGGCGUUGCUGCAUCAGGGUUUCCCCCAUUGUGCAAUAUUCCCCACUGCUGCCUCCCGUAGGAGUCUGGACCGUGUCUCAGUUCCAGUGUGGCCGAUCAGCCUCUCAGCUCGGCUACCCAUCGUCGGCUUGGUGGGCUGUUAUCUCACCAACUACCUAAUGGGACGCGAACCCCUCUUAUAGCGAUAAAUCUUUGACCUCUGUACCAUGCGGCACUGUGGUCUUAUGCGGUAUUAGCACUUGUUUCCAGGUGUUAUUCCCCACUAUAAGGCAGGUUGUUCACGCGUUACUCACCCGUUCGCCACUAAGAUAUCAUGUCUUCCAUCCGAAAACUUCUAACUCAAUAUCUCCGUUCGACUUGCAUGUGUUAGGCACGCCGCCAGCGUUCGUCCUGAGCCAUGAUCAAACUCUGA